AGGAGAGCUGAGCACUCUGGCGAGACUGCCCGCCGACAAGGCGGAGGAAAGGUGGGGAGUGACGUCAAGUCAUCAUGGCCUUUAUGCCCAGGGCUACACACGUGCUACAAUGGCCGGCACAGACGGCAGCUUAGUGGCGACACUUGGCAAAUCCUCUAAAGCCGGUCCCAGUUCGGAUUGCAGUCUGCAACUCGACUGCAUGAAGCCGGAAUCGCUAGUAAUCGCAGAUCAGCCAAGCUGCGGUGAAUACGUUCCCGGGCCUU
rnacentral:rRNA from 1 species